rnacentral:lncRNA from 1 species
GUGAGGUGGUUACCCGCGCCCACACAUGUCGCCGCCCUAGGUAUAGAAAGAGGGCCCCGACCACAGAAAAGGGAACUCCGGGGAAGUUCCGCCGACUGUGUUGGCGCGUCAACCGUGAAGCUCAUGGCGACGAUCGUUUAUCUGAUUACAAGGCGGUGGUGGUGCAAUUGAGACCUCAGACAGUCGGCGGCUAGGGUUCGUGACCUGAAGGUGAUGACGGAGACGAUGUAGAUUAAGUUUCAGGCGAUCAAUGGUGUCAAACAAUGGUCGUUCUAAACAAAUGCACGGUCAGCGUCGACGGUCAAAACAGGGAACACGUUCUGGUCACCUAUGGUUUAGGGUUUUGAAAGUACCGACGAUUAGGAAGGCGAUAUGUUUGGGUGCAUAUUAAAUUUGUUGGUUUCUCUUCUACUUCUUGAGACAUUCAUAAAAGAGAGAAGAAAAAAGAAACAGUGACACUUCUCUCUCAUCUUCAUUUCCAAAAUACUACACACAUAGUAAAGGUGAGAAAGAGGCAAGAUGGCAGUGGUCAUUUCAGUGUGCUUCAGGUCUGGUGAAGCAUGAAGGCGGUGGUCGUUUCGGGGUGCUUCAGGUCCGCUGAGAAGGAGAGGUGCAACAGUGGCUACGGUUUCGAGCAGGGGUUCACUUACCGCCACAGGUUCAGCUCGGCCAGAUUUCCGAGGAGGACUUGAAUGCUUACAGCGGCAAUGAUCCUCAAAGGCCUCUUCUUAUGGCCAUCAAAGGCCAGAUCUAUGAGACUAUGAUGUCUCGCAAAACAGGUCAUCUAUCAUCAAUUUCGAGGGUUUGAUUUAGUAUUACUUUCAGCUCAUCGGCGCCAUUCUUAGAGCCGAUUCUCAUACCAGCACAGGAUUGUAUGUGGCGAAUAGAGCUUCCGGGAUGUAAAAAGACAUAUUUGUUCUAAAACCGAUAACUGAGGUUGAUAGCAAUAUCAAUAUUUAUGGACUGAGCUACCCGCUAUUCUUACGAAGAAGAGAAGCUGCAGACUGACCAUGAAAGGAAAGAAAAAGAAAAAAGAAUCAGCUAUUCGAGUUUCAACAGAGAACGAGAUAUCUACCCUAAAGGCUGAGAUUUCAUCAUUGAGCAAAAAAGGAGGUUCAGUAUCAAAAAGUACGAGUCAAGAACCCGUACUUCUUAAAGGACGUGUUUUUGACAAGGAAAAGGAGAUAAACUGCCUACAAGAAGAAAAGAAACGAGCCAAUGCGGAGAAAAGCAAGAUCGAGCACGAAUUAAGUAAUCUUAAAACUCAGUUGCUUAACGUACAAACCGAAAAGAAAAAGCUAACGCAGGAUCUUCAAAAAGAGAGAGCUAGAGCGGAAUCGGAGAAAAAACGAGCUGAUGAAAUGUCGAAAACUUUAAAAACUAAACAGGCGGAAGUUGAAGUUCUUAAGUCCGAGAAAAAGAAUAACGCAGAAAUCCGAGCAUCAGAAUUUGGAAAUAGAAAUUGGGCGGCUCAAAGAGCUUUAUGUAAACGAGAGAAAAGGAGCUGAUUGUGAGGCAAAAAAAGCCGAAACCGAGAAGAGAAACACUCACAAAGUGAAAGAAAUGUUGAAGGCUGAGCAGUGGGGUGGGUCAAUAACCAAAAUGCAUCGCCCGAGGAAUUUGCCGCGAAACGCGCCGGCCAUGAAACCACUAGUUAAAAAUAAAAAUCGAAUGUUUUGAACAGUACCAAAUGAACAGUACAAAACUAGAAAAAGUUAAAAUA